UAAAUACUCCCACCGUCUCAAAAAAUUUGUCUUAAAUUUAUCUAGAUAUAGAUGUUUCUAACACUAAAAUAUGAAUAGAUACAUCCAUAUAUAGACAAAUCUAAGACAAGUAUUUUGGGAUUGAGGGAGUAUAAG
rfam:Triticum aestivum genome assembly, contig: Triticum_aestivum_CS42_TGACv1_scaffold_407587_5BL